UACGGAGGGGACUAGCGUUGUUCGGAAUUACUGGGCGUAAAGCGCACGUAGGCGGAUUUGUAAGUCAGGGGUGAAAUCCCGGGGCUCAACCUCGGAACUGCCUUUGAUACUGCAAAUCUCGAGUCCGGAAGAGGUGAGUGGAAUUCCUAGUGUAGAGGUGAAAUUCGUAGAUAUUAGGAAGAACACCAGUGGCGAAGGCGGCUUACUGGUCCGGCAGUUGACGCUG
rnacentral:rRNA from 1 species